rnacentral:lncRNA from 1 species
GAUAACAUAAGAGCCCACUCACAAACAGAGAGAAAAAAAAGAAAGAAAAGAAAACACUUCAUCAUUUCAUUUCAAGACCAACAAAAAACAAAGCAAAAGAGAAAAAAAAAAAGAAAAGAAAAGAUAGCGAGAGGGGAAUUCGAGGAAGAAGAAGAACAAGGGUUUGGUUGAAGACGAAGAUGAGUGAACAACAGAGUAACAGCAAUAACCAGCUGGUAGUGCAGAAUUCAGGGAGUUUAAGCUUCAGUAGUCACUUGUCUAAGGAAGAUGAAGAGAUGUCUAGGUCUGCUCUUUCAACUUUUAGGGCUAAAGAAGAAGAAAUCGAGAAGAAGAAAAUGGAAGUCAGAGAGAAAGUUCAGUUUCAGCUAGGUCGUGUUGAAGAAGAAACCAAACGUCUCGCUACAAUUCGUGAGGUUUAUAUAAUUUAUAUUUCACUUUUUUUUUCUCUUCAGAUUUAUUUUUUGAAUUUUGAAUUUUUUUUGAAAAAUAUUAAAUUGACCAAACCAUGGUUAUAAAUUUUAAGGAUAAAAUACGAGGAAGUAUUUGUGGUGUUGGAAUCCGGUGAACUCAAGAGUUUGUUGGCAUAGUUUAUUUCAUUUAAUUAAUUUAACUAUUUAUUUUUGCAUAAACACAAAUAACUUUGGAUUUGUUGUAAUGAUUAGAUAAUUGAGGCUUGAAAAACAUCUAGAGAGAACUUGAUUAUUCUGGAUCUGUGAUUUUGUUCUGAAACAGAGUGAAAUUUGCAGGCAAAAAAAUAUAAUUUCUUUUUCCUUGUGUUUUUUAGGAAAGUUAUUUUAAAUUUGAAAAUUCUUAUAAUUCCCUUGUCAGAAAGCAGUAUUAAUUUAUGAAAUAAAUAAUUUCUUAAGCCAUCAAAUUUUUUUAGGGUAUUUGUGUGUUUCUCUGUAAUUUUUUUUUAAUAUGAGUAUUAUAUUGAAGAAUUUGCAAACUUUUUGUUAUUUGAGGAAUUUCAGGAGCUUGAAGCACUUGCAGAUCCAAUGAGAAAAGAAGUUUCAGUUGUUAGAAAGAAAAUUGAUUCAGUAAACAAAGAAUUAAAGCCACUUGGUCAAUCUUGCCAGAAGAAGGUGAGUUAGGUUAACUGUUUUUGAUUAAUUUUGUAUAAAGAUUAAUCAUCAAGGCUUUAUAAAACCCUUAUUCUGACACGAAAACGGCCACGACAAAAUGGUCGGAAAUUACUGAUACUAAUAUUCACCUUUUUUAUGACAAAAGAAAUUGUGAUUAAUUUAUACUGUAAUGACCGCAAUGAGUAUAAUAUCAAUCAAAAUUGAGAAUCGCAACACGAACACGACAGUUUUUAAAACCUUGGCUAUGAUAUUUUCUUUACAGGAGAAAGAAUACAAAGAUGCCCUUGAAGCUUUUAAUGAUAAAAACAGGGAAAAAGUACAGUUAAUUACAAAAUUAAUGGAGGUUAGUCUCAAAUUUCUAAUUACAUGCAAAUAAUUUUGUUGAUGUUGUUGCUACUAAAUAUUAAUUGGUCUUAAAUUGUUGAUGUGAUUGAUUAGUUGGUGGGUGAAAGUGAAAGAUUGAGGAUGAAGAAGCUGGAGGAGCUGAGUAAGAACAUAGAUUCAAUGCAAGUGCAAUGAUUUAUUAGCCAACUGAUGAUUAGUGAAUCCUGUGUGGUAUAUUAAAGAUGAUGACAUAGUAUUUUUAUAUGUAUGGGUGUCUUGUGAUUUUGUAAUUUUGUGUUUUAACUAGCAUUUGAUUUCAUAUGGGAUAUUUUGCUAAUUUAGGAGGGUUAUUAUACCCUAGAAAACAGGCUUGUAACUAAAUAUGUUGCAUUUUUAUUCACUUUUCUAUGCUUUGUUCCUUCUUACUAUUUAAUUUAUUCAUGUAAUUUGAAUUUUGUUGACACAAAUUUGUUAUUUGUAGUUUCAGUUAUUAGUAUGUUUGUAGAAGAAAGAAUGCUUUCUA